rnacentral:sRNA from 1 species
UGAGAAAGUGGUAGGGCUUUGUCAGUAUAACUGUUUUUUGUUUGAUUGGUUUUUUUUUCAUAAGAUGUAGAUAUAUGAGUAUGUAGCAAUCAGAUUAAUCCAUAUGAUACAUGUACGUGUGUUUGACCUAAGAACAAUAUCAGCUAUUCCCUCCUAACUGUCUGUGUAUUUUGUAUGAAAUUGUCCAUAUACACUGAAUGAAAUCCACAACAUAUUGCAUAUUUAUAUAAAUCUAUCUGUUUUAAUAACACUUUUAAGUUUCAUAAGAACUAUAAACAUCUUACUCUGUUUAACUUUGGAUGUAGAUUUACACUUUAGAACAAACUAAUCCAUUAAAUGAUUACUGGAGCAUCAGGAAUAAAAAAGGACAUUAUUUUCAUAUACAAUGUAUACAUAUAUAUCACAUGAAAUUUCUGUACAUUUGAUGUGUUGACUCUCAAUCGAAAUUGAGACUAUUUUAGAAUCGAUUUUGCCGUGAUUAUAUCUAUAAUUUCUUUUUAAAAAUUGAUAAUUGCAGUCACCACUUAUCAUAGUACUGGGUACAUCUAUCAUAAAAAUAAAUAAAUGAUUGUGAACAUAUACAUGUGAUUAAAUUGUUUGGUUUAAUUGGGAUGCUACCCAACAUGUCAUGAUGUGAUAAACUAACUUUUAGGUGGAAUAACACACCUGAAAAAAGUCAAUUAAAUUAAAAAAAAUUUAGGGAUAAAAAAAUGAAUAUUAAAAAAAAAAAAAUUGAUUAAGUAAGCAACAACAAAAGCCCCUGCGGAAUUCGAACUCGGGAUGUACGGUUCACAAGCCCAGCUCUUUUUCCAUUCGGCUAUGGAAUUGUUGCUAUAUAAGAUAUUAAGUACAUAAUCCCUAAUUCAUUUACAAGGAUAUGUUUUGCUAUAAAUUGAACGUAUCUCCUAUAUUUGCGCUGUGAAUUGCAUUUGUAUUUAUAAGCAGCUUGGUUUUUGAAUCAGUGUUUAUGGUGAUUACAAAGUACUUUUCGUAAGAAAUCCGUUGGUACAAAGUUCAUGUUCUGAAGUUAGAUAUUCAGUGCUUUAUUUAUAUUGAAUGUUCAUGUUCUGUGCUUUGAGUAUCUACUUUGUAUUCGUUUAAAAUGUCAAUAAAAAGUCUUGAUAU